AGGUAAAGCACAGAUACUACAGAGGGAAUGUACAGCUACUACAGAGGACAAGUACAGAUAUAACAGAGGAAAAGUACAGAUACUACAGAGGGUAAAUUCCCUGACAUACAGCUACUACAGACGAAAGUACAGAUACCACAGAGAUAAAGUACUGAUAUAAAAGAGGCAAAGUACAGAUAUUUUACAGGUAAAAUACAGAUACUACAGUGGGAAAGUACAGAUACUACAGAGGGAAAGUACAGAUACAACAGAG